rnacentral:rRNA from 1 species
GAUGAACGCUGGCGGCGUGCCUAAUACAUGCAAGUCGAGCGAACAGACGAGGAGCUUGCUCCUCUGACGUUAGCGGAGGACGGGUGAGUAACACGUGGAUAACCUACCUAUAAGACUGGGAUAACUUCGGGAAACCGGCGCUAAUACCGGAUAAUAUAUUGAACCGCAUGGUUCAAUAGUGAAAGACGGCUUUGCUGUCUCUUCUAGAUGGAUCCGAGCCGCAUUAGCUAGUUGGUAAGGUAACGGCUUACCACGGCAACGAUGCGUAGCCGACCUGAGAGGGUGGUCGGCCACACUGGAACGGAGACACGGUCCUGACUCCUGCGGGAGGCAGCAGUAGGGAAUCUUCCGCAAUGGGCGAAAGCUUGGCGGAGCAGCGGCGCGUGAGUGAUGAAGGUCUUCGGAGCGUAAAACUCUGUUAUUAGGGAAGAACAAAUGUGUAAGUAACUAUGCACGUCUUGACGGUACCUAAUCAGAAAGCCACGGCUAACUACGUG